rnacentral:rRNA from 1 species
UACGUAGGAGACGAGCGUUGUCCGGAAUUACUGGGCGUAAAGCGCGUGUAGGCGGAUGGGCAAGUCUGCUGUGAAAGCUCCUGGCUUAACCGGGAGUGGUCGGUGGAAACUGCCAAUCUGGAGGACGGUAGAGGUAGGUAGAAUUCCCGGUGUAGUGGUGAAAUGCGUAGAGAUCGGGAGGAAUACCUGUGGCGAAGGCGGCCUACUGGGCCGGACCUGACGCUGAGACGCGAAGGCGUGGGAGGCGAACGGG